rnacentral:rRNA from 1 species
CCUACGGGUGGCAGCAGUGAGGAAUAUUGGUCAAUGGGCGCAAGCCUGAACCAGCCAAGUCGCGUGAGGGAAGACGGUCCUAUGGAUUGUAAACCUCUUUUGUCGGGGAGCAGAGGACGCCACGCGUGCCGUUCCGAGAAUUCCCGAAGAAAAAGCAUCGGCUAAAGCCGUGCCAGCAGCCGCGGUAAUACGGGGGAUGGGAGCGUUAUCCGGGUUUUUUGGGGUUAAAGGGUGCGCAGGCGGAAGAUCAAGGCAGCGGUAAAAUUGAGAGGCUCAACCUCUUGCAGCCGUUGAAACUGGUUGUCUUGAGUGAGCGAGAAGUAUGCGGAAUGCGUGGUGUAGCGGUGAAAUGCAUAGAUAUCACGCAGAACUCCGAUUGCGAAGGCAGCAUACCGGCGCUCAACUGACGCUGAUGCACGAAAGUGUGGGUAUCGAACAGGAUUAGAUACCCUAGUAGUC